GAGUUUGAUCAUGGCUCAGGAUGAACGCUGGCGGCGUGCUUAACACAUGCAAGUCGAACGAACCUUCGGGUUAGUGGCGGACGGGUGAGUAACGCGUGGGAAUCUGCCCUCAGGAGGGGGAUAACGGUUGGAAACGACCGCUAAUACCCCAUAUGCCGAGAGGUGAAAUGAAUUUCGCCUGAGGAUGAGCCCGCGUCUGAUUAGCUUGUUGGUGAGGUAAUGGCUCACCAAGGCAUCGAUCAGUAGCUGGUCUGAGAGGAUGAUCAGCCACACUGGGACUGAGACACGGCCCAGACUCCUACGGGAGGCAGCAGUGGGGAAUUUUCCGCAAUGGGCGAAAGCCUGACGGAGCAACGCCGCGUGAGGGACGAAGGCCUCUGGGCUGUAAACCUCUUUUCUCAAGGAAGAAGAUAUGACGGUACUUGAGGAAUAAGCCACGGCUAAUUCCGUGCCAGCAGCCGCGGUAAUACGGGAGUGGCAAGCGUUAUCCGGAAUUAUUGGGCGUAAAGCGUCCGCAGGCGGCCUUUCAAGUCUGCUGUUAAAACGUGGAGCUUAACUCCAUCAUGGCAGUGGAAACUGAUUGGCUUGAGUAUGGUAGGGGCAGAGGGAAUUCCCGGUGUAGCGGUGAAAUGCGUAGAUAUCGGGAAGAACACCAGUGGCGAAGGCGCUCUGCUGGGCCAUUACUGACGCUCAUGGACGAAAGCCAGGGGAGCGAAAGGGAUUAGAUACCCCUGUAGUCCUGGCCGUAAACGAUGAACACUAGGUGUCGGGGGAAUCGACCCCUUCGGUGUCGUAGCUAACGCGUUAAGUGUUCCGCCUGGGGAGUACGCACGCAAGUGUGAAACUCAAAGGAAUUGACGGGGGCCCGCACAAGCGGUGGAGUAUGUGGUUUAAUUCGAUGCAACGCGAAGAACCUUACCAGGGCUUGACAUCCUGCGAACCUUUAAGAAAUUAGAGGGUGCCUUCGGGAACGCAGUGACAGGUGGUGCAUGGCUGUCGUCAGCUCGUGUCGUGAGAUGUUGGGUUAAGUCCCGCAACGAGCGCAACCCACGUUUUUAGUUGCCAGCAUUUAGUUGGGCACUCUAGAAAGACCGCCGGUGAUAAACCGGAGGAAGGUGUGGAUGACGUCAAGUCAUCAUGCCCCUUACGUCCUGGGCUACACACGUACUACAAUGCUACGGACAAAGGGCAGCAAACUCGCGAGAGCUAGCAAAUCCCAUAAACCGUGGCUCAGUUCAGAUCGUAGGCUGCAACUCGCCUACGUGAAGUAGGAAUCGCUAGUAAUCGCAGGUCAGCAUACUGCGGUGAAUACGUUCCCGGGCCUUGUACACACCGCCCGUCACACCAUGGAAGUUGGCCAUGCCCGAAGUCGUUACUUUAACCCUCGUGGAGAAGGACGCCGAAGGUGGGGCUGAUGACUGGGGUGAAGUCGUAACAAGGUAACC
rnacentral:rRNA from 1 species